UACGGAGGGUGCAAACGUUGCUCGGAAUCAUUGGGCGUAAAGCGCACGUAGGCGGUCGGCUAUGUCGGAUGUGAAAGCCUCGGGCUUAACCCGAGAAGGGCAUCCGAAACUGGCUGGCUUGAGUACGGAAGAGGGUCUCGGAAUUCCCGGUGUAGAGGUGAAAUUCGUAGAUAUCGGGAGGAACACCAGUGGCGAAGGCGGAGACCUGGGCCGAUACUGACGCUGAGGUGCGAAAGCGUGGGGAGCAAACAGG
rnacentral:rRNA from 1 species